rnacentral:rRNA from 1 species
UCCACGCAGUAAACGAUGAAUGUUAGUCGUCGGGGGCGUACAGAGAGUUGCAAUACCGCGAGGUGGAGCCAAUCUCAUAAAGCGUCUCUCAGUUCGGAUUGAUCUCUGCAACUCGAGAUCAUGAAGCUGGAAUCACUAGUAAUCGUAGAUCAGCAACGCUACGGUGAAUACGUUCCCGGGUCUUGCACUCACCGCCCGUUG